rnacentral:piRNA from 1 species
UGUGAAACAAAAGAAGUGCCACACAAGCC